rnacentral:rRNA from 1 species
GGGACACGUGGUAUCCUGUCUGAAUAUGGGGGGACCAUCCUCCAAGGCUAAAUACUCCUGACUGACCGAUAGUGAACCAGUACCGUGAGGGAAAGGCGAAAAGAACCCCGGCGAGGGGAGUGAAAAAGAACCUGAAACCGUGUACGUACAAGCAGUGGGAGCCUCUUUUAUGGGGUGACUGCGUACCUUUUGUAUAAUGGGUCAGCGACUUAUAUUCUGUAGCAAGGUUAACCGAAUAGGGGAGCCGAAGGGAAACCGAGUCUUAACUGGGCGUUAAGUUGCAGGGUAUAGACCCGAAACCCGGUGAUCUAGCCAUGGGCAGGUUGAAGGUUGGGUAACACUAACUGGAGGACCGAACCGACUAAUGUUGAAAAAUUAGCGGAUGACUUGUGGCUGGGGGUGAAAGGCCAAUCAAACCGGGAGAUAGCUGGUUCUCCCCGAAAGCUAUUUAGGUAGCGCCUCGUGAAUUCAUCUCCGGGGGUAGAGCACUGUUUCGGCAAGGGGGUCAUCCCGACUUACCAACCCGAUGCAAACUGCGAAUACCGGAGAAUGUUAUCACGGGAGACACACGGCGGGUGCUAACGUCCGUCGUGAAGAGGGAAACAACCCAGACCGCCAGCUAAGGUCCCAAAGUCAUGGUUAAGUGGGAAACGAUG